GAUUUCUUGAAUCGGAAAGUAGGUCAUCUGAUAAAACUUGUAAUAAUUAGCACAGCGGAGACUUAUAAUCGUAGAUUUUGCUUGCAGAUUAUAUGAAAGGGGUAAUGUUUUGUCAAACAGAUGAUUUUAAAGGUCUCUAAAACAUUAACUGCUUUCUCCCAGCCAAGACCAGACCUUUUACUUGGUCAGGAAAUACUGACGUGUUCUUACCUGAUUGUAUUCCUUUAAUGCCAGUGAAUUGAGGCGGAGUGUUUUCUGCCCAAACAGUUUUUCCAAGAUGAAUAUUAUCAAAAAUGUCAACCGUCAGCUCUGGAAUGUCAAGAUCUAACAACUGCUUACGAAGUUCAGAAACAGCUUCAAUAUCUUCCUCUGAGCUGAGAAUGACAACAUCUUUGCAACCUGUUUUAAUAUAAACAACACAUAACGUGAUUAUGUGAUCACUAUCAACAUCAUCCAGGUCUACCUAGUUUUCAUCACGUCCAGAGAACGUGUAAAGUACAACAGAAAACAAACACGGUCAGUGCGUUACGUAUCGACAAACGCCGUCGGUACGAUACCUCAAUAUGGUACAUGACAAACCCCCAUUAGUGAACUAUAACGAAAACACCACCAUAACGAUUCAUUAUGGUGAACAGUUGCAGCUGCUUUUUUUGUUUUCUGAAAUAAAAAAACCCCAACAACAUGAGAAUCCACCUGAAGGACAAAGAGAAAUGCUUGACUAAUUGUCCUACAACGUCCAGAAGCUCAAAACUACUCGCUUACAGUUGGCGCAAUUUUCUUUAACCGAGUUUGCAUACAAUUUGAAACUGGCGAUGAGAAAUACCUAGAUUAGAUAAGGUAGUGGACCUGUUAUGAUAAUCACUUAUUUCUGAUCGACUACGUUUUUUCUGUAAGUGACAUCGGCAUCUCCGGUUAUUACGGAAACCAUUGCUCGUACAGACUAUAUCUAUGGCGGCAGAAUAAGAGAACAUUGGACUUUGUGUUGUUAUAUUUCCUUAUUUUCUGUUCUUUUUGGCUAGUGGGAUACAUAAAAUGUAGCUAUAUAAUAAUUUACAACUGGGGUCAGAGGAGUGUAGCACAUUUUGUAAUUUGUCAAAACACGCAUGCCAAAUACAUCCGAGCAUGCUUUUCACAUGCUUUGGUGCUCAUUUUCUGUAACUGAUGGUGUGAUAAUUCACAUAUAUUCAUAACUUUGUCAAGAGAUAAAUUGCUGUGGUCUCCACAUACUUGCAUUUUUACAGGCAAUAUAAAUGCUAAAACGGACGAGAAAAGUUACAUAAAUGGCAAUGUUCAUAUUUUUGUUUUCCUCUUUGUAUCUAUAUGUACGUGUAAACUAAUUUUUGUGCAUUUUCAUGCAAUUGUUAUACUGUGGUCAGUAUAAGUGAGCUUUGUCAACACUACUUCAUUGGCAACUGGUUUUCAGUUUAUUAUUACUACAUUAUAUAUAUCGCCGGUCCAUAUUUUGUACUAUAUGACUGGUCAAUAUUCAACACAUGUUUACUGGGCGAAUAAGUAAAAAAAUCAAAAGUAAAACUAUUAAAAUCAACUACUCUUGUCAUGUAAUGGAAACACCGACUAGCUUUUGGUCAAAAUGUCGGACCUCGAACAAUUGUUUUGGCAAUUGACCAGCAUGUCAUUAAUUGGGUGUAUGAUACAUCUAAAUAAAUCUUCCUGUUUCAUUUUAUUAGUUAUUUAAAGUCGAAACUGAACAGUAUGAUACCGACGACCCAAACUCGUGAUGUUAUCUACAUUGUAAAUCAUAUGUUGAAUGUAUUAUAUCUAUACCGUGUAAACAGUGUCAUUUUAUCUUUUCUGAUUACAUAUUAUAGCAUUGUGUCAAUGUCAAUGACACACUAUGUAUCCACUAUGAUAAUCAUUAUUUUAGUCCCUACUGUUUGAACCCAGAUUUUGGGACUCGUCUGUCAGUUCGUGUGUCCGUCCCAUCGCAAUUAGGUCAAUACCUUUGUCAUGCAGAUUUUCACCAUAAUAAGGCUAUUCAAACACUCAAAGAUUUUCUGUCUACGCUUGGCAACAGUCUCAAAUUACCAAAACGUUUAUUACUAGUUAUUUAUUUGAAAAGGGUUUAUAUCAAUAUUAUUCUAACUUCAAAGUCUUUGCUUUGUCAAUUGAAGAACAUAUUGGAGUUUUCUGUGAA